rnacentral:rRNA from 1 species
GGCCUUCGGGUUGUAAACCUCUUUUAGUAGGGAAGAAGCGAAAGUGACGGUACCUGCAGAAAAAGCGCCGGCUAACUACGUGCCAGCAGCCGCGGUAAUACGUAGGGUGCGAGCGUUGUCCGGAAUUAUUGGGCGUAAAGAGCUCGUAGGCGGUUUGUCACGUCUGCUGUGAAAACCCGAGGCUCAACCUCGGGCCUGCAGUGGGUACGGGCAGACUAGAGUGCGGUAGGGGAGAACGGAAUUCCUGGUGUAGCGGUGGAAUGCGCAGAUAUCAGGAGGAACACCGAUGGCGAAGGCAGUUCUCUGGGCCGUAACUGACGCUGAGGAGCGAAAGCGUGGGGAGCGAACAGGAUUAGAUACCCUGGUAGUCC